rnacentral:tRNA from 1 species
GCCUUCGUGGUGUAGUGGUCAGCAGUUUCCACUCGUUCUCGAGAGGCCCGUGGUUCGAGUCCCGGCGAAGGCG